GAAAAAAAAGAAAGAAAAAGAAUAAAAAUUGUUUUCCAUCUUAAAAAUUUUUCCUAGAACUUCUAUAGUAAUCUACAGUAAAGUUUUAGAUAAACAUCCAAAAAAUUCAUUUGUCAAAUGGAGAUUUCUGAUUAUAUUAAGAAUUUAAGACAAAUUUGUGAACCACUAUAUAAAAGACUUAGAAAGAAUCCUCCAGUUUGGAUCGAAAACCAUACUAAAACGGUACAAAGGAUUAAGCAAAUUGUUAAGGAUCUUCCAUUUUUAGGAAUUCCUCAUUUGCAUGCAUUUAUGAUAGUUGAAAUAGAUGCAUCAGAGGUAGGAUAUGGAGGCAUUCUCAAAAAAACAAGAAUUUUUUACUACAAAAAAUAAGUUCUAAUGCCUCAUGACAGCUAGUACCAGUAAAGAAGAUUUCAAGAAAAAAUUGAUCGAUGCCUAUCCCAAAUUAAUGAUGAAGAAAAGGUAAUAUUUUCUCAAGAUCCUGCUCGAGAAAAUGAAGAAGAUUGCUAAGGAAUUUUCAGCCCAAUUUAAUAAAAGUAGGACCCAGCCAAUCAAAAUGUCGGAUAAAGAAGAAAUCCAAACAACCAAUGAAAUUUCAGAUUACCAGACAGAAGAAGAUAAGAUGACUCAAGCAAUGACAUCAUUGGAAGGAUAUUCUCAAGCAUAUCUCUCUUAUCAACUCUAUAUAAAGAAGAGGAAGGUAGCCAAACGAAGCAAGCGAAGAAGAACUUCUCUCUAAAAUUACUCUCUCAAGCUCCUCUCUCUAAAACCCUUAGUCUUUCAAAAUGCCCAACUCCCUUGUAAUAGAUAGGAUUAUUUCAAGAAAGAGCAAGCUCUAAAGUAAAAUUCUGGGGAGUCCUUGCUGCAACCAAUUGCUAUAGCUACUUGUGAUGAUGAUGUUCCAUGAAUUUGCUGAUAAGUCACAUCACUGAUCUUUACACCAGAACCAUGAAAAUGGAACUCCAAAUAUUGAGAAAGGGAAGCCAACAAAACAAGUUUGGAAGCUGCAGAAUGAUGCAGCCCCGAGCAAGUAUCUUCCCCGCGGUACAUAAAUUGUUGCAGACUUUACUGAAGCACAAGCUGCUGCCCAUG